AUCGCUUCUCUGCCUUUUGGCUAAGAUCAAGUGUUGUAUCUGUUCUUAUCAGUUUAAUAUCUGAUAUGUCCUUUAUAUGGGGACAACAUAUUAAACGGAUUUUUAGCACCGGGAACUGAAAAAGCGGCUUGCCCGUUCACUCCACGCAUCGAUCGGUACUGCAGUGCCGCCGGGAACGGUGCACCCUCC
rnacentral:snRNA from 1 species